rnacentral:rRNA from 1 species
UACGUAGGGUGCGAGCGUUGUCCGGAAUUACUGGGCGUAAAGAGCUCGUAGGUGGUUUGUCGCGUUGUUCGUGAAAUCUCACGGCUUAACUGUGAGCGUGCGGGCGAUACGGGCAGACUAGAGUACUGCAGGGGAGACUGGAAUUCCUGGUGUAGCGGUGGAAUGCGCAGAUAUCAGGAGGAACACCGGUGGCGAAGGCGGGUCUCUGGGCAGUAACUGACGCUGAGGAGCGAAAGCGUGGGGAGCGAAUGGG